rnacentral:rRNA from 1 species
UACGAAGGGGGCUAGCGUUGUUCGGAAUCACUGGGCGUAAAGCGCACGUAGGCGGAUCAGUAAGUCAGGGGUGAAAUCCCGGGGCUCAACCUCUGAACUGCCUUUGAUACUGCUGGUCUCGAGUCCGGGAGAGGUGAGUGGAAUUCCUAGUGUAGAGGUGAAAUUCGUAGAUAUUAGGAAGAACACCAGUGGCGAAGGCGGCUCACUGGCCCGGUACUGACGCUGAGGUGCGAAAGCGUGGGGAGCAAACAGG